rnacentral:ncRNA from 1 species
ACCCACAUCCGCAGCAGGUCUCCAAGGUGAACAGCCUCUAGUCGAUGGACCAAUGUAGGUAAGGGAAGUCGGCAAAACGGAUCCGUAACCUUGGGAUAAGGAUUGGCUCUGAGGACUGAGCCGGUCGGGCUGGGGACCUGAAGCAGGAACGGCACUGCACCGGGACUGGGCGGGGCUCGCCGUUCACGCGGCGCGGCCAAGCCCGGACCAGCGUCGGGACCUUCCUGUGGAAAGCCUCAGCUGCGCGGCGUCUGAGGGCUUCGUGCCCAAAGUGCUAUGCUUCGGCCGGCAAAAAACAGUCAACUCAGAACUGGCACGGACCGGGGGAAUCCGACUGUCUAAUUAAAACAAAGCAUUGCGAUGGCCGCUGGUCGGUGUUGACGCAAUGUGAUUUCUGCCCAAGAUCCUUGCCAAGAGGUUGCAGGGUUGCGUCGAUCUUGAUGUGAGGCAGCGGGCCUUUGUCCCCGCAGAUGGGUGCGGCGAGAAUGUCGCAAUUCUGCAGGCCCUGCUCUCGGAGAGUCGGCGUACACUCAGUACACUUCACAUGGCGCAGAUGGACUUGCGCAAAGCUUUCGAUUCAGUUUCGGUGGACGCGGUACUAGCUGCCGCGUCCUCGGCGGGUCUGCCGAAGAAAUUCCUCCACUACCUGGAGGUACUGUACCAGCAGAGUAAAACACUGGUACAGUCGGGCGAUCUCAGCGAAGAGAUCAGAGCGGCCAGAGGAGUCAAACAGGGAGACCCGUUGUCGCCGCUUCUCUUCAACCUUGUUGUUGAUGGACUCCUUCGGGAGCUACCGGCCAUUAUUGGAUUCAGGCUGGGAGAAACCAUGAUUAAUGCGAUGGCUUUUGCGGAUGAUCUGACACUAGUUGCAUCGACAAGGGGAGGUCUGCAGGAGCUGCUGAAUCAGUCAGAGGCCUACUUCAAAGCAAGAGGCCUCAGCUUCAACCCAGAGAAAUCUUCUACGCUGUCUCUGGUGCCUUCAAAAAGGCAGAAAAAGACCAAGGUCGAGCAACAACCAUUUCAGAUAGCAGGAUCAGACAUCCCAACACUUGAUUGCGUCGCAUCAUGGAAGUACCUGGGUGUACUCUUCAACACAAGGGGACGGAAGGUGCCGUUGACGGGGGAGCUGAUUCCACUCCUUGAGCGACUUUCUACUGCGCCGCUCAAACCUCAGCAGCGUCUCGUGUUGUUAAAGCACUACCUGCUACCGAGGUUU